rnacentral:lncRNA from 1 species
UUGGAUUCAGCCCGCCUGCACCCAGGUGAAAUAAACAGCCUUGUUGCUCACACAAAGCCUGUUUGGUGUUCUCUUCACGCGGAUGUGACAGACAUCUGGUGCCGAAGACCCGGGUCAGAGGGACUCCUUCAGGAGACCAGUCCCCUGUCCUCACCCUCACUCCAUGAAGAGAUCCACCUAUGUAUGACCCUGGGUCCUCAGACCAACCAGCCCAAGGAACAUCUCACCAAUUUCAAAUUGGGAUACAAUUGAAGACACUGGUUAUUUUACCAAGGCUUUGAUUGGAAUGGCUUACUUUCAGAUAUAAAUCAACUGCUUUAAGGAAUCAAAGUUGACUUACAGAGUCAUAAAAGCCCCUUGGGAAAGCUGGCCUCAUGCCUUUCCACACAGUUCCUGUACAGUUUCCUGACGUGUGUUAUGCUGUGCUUUCUUAAAACCCUGUGAACUGAAGCUACACAACUUAAACUUCAGAAGAAAAUAACAGCAACCUAUAUGCCAGCCUACUGAUGUAUGAACUUCAGAGAAAAAUGGCUCUAUCUUU